rnacentral:rRNA from 1 species
AACGAACGCUGGCGGCAUGCCUAACACAUGCAAGUCGAACGAAGCCUUCGGGCUUAGUGGCGCACGGGUGCGUAACGCGUGGGAAUCUGCCCUUGGGUUCGGAAUAACAGUUAGAAAUGACUGCUAAUACCGAAUGAUGUCUUCGGACCAAAGACUUAUCGCCCAAGGAUGAGCCCGCGUCGGAUUAGCUAGUUGGUGAGGUAAAGGCUCACCAAGGCGACGAUCCGUAGCUGGUCUGAGAGGAUGAUCAGCCACACUGGGACUGAGACACGGCCCAGACUCCUACGGGAGGCAGCAGU